AUUGAACGCUGGCGGCAGGCCUAACACAUGCAAGUCGAGCGGAGCGGCGGAGGGGUGCGUAAUGCCUAGGAAUCUGCCUGGUCGUGGGGGAUAACGUACGGAAACGGGAGCUAAUACCGAAUACUAUAGGAUGCGCCUAGGUCGGAUUAGCUAGUUGGUGGGGUAAAGGCAUACCAAGGCGACGAUCCGUAACUGGUCUGAGAGGAUGAUCAGUCACACUGGAACUGAGACACGGUCCAGACUCCUACGGGAGGCAGCAGUGGGGAAUAUUGGACAAUGGGCGAAAGCCUGAUCCAGCCAUGCCGCGUGUGUGAAGAAGGUCUUCGGAUUGUAAAGUACUUUAAGUUGGGAGGCGUUACCAACAGAAUAAACACCGGCUAACUUCGUGCCAGCCGCCGCGGUAAUUC
rnacentral:rRNA from 1 species